AUCACUCUUUCACCAGAAAGCUUGUUCAGUUCUACAAGAGAAAAUACCUUUAUUUCUGAUAUGAAGAUACAAAUAUUGAGAAGUCUCCUCUAUCUGACAAUGGUUUAUCUUCUAAAUGUGUUACCUGCUGUCACUUCCCAGAUCAGGCUGGUCAAUGGUAAUGGUCGCUGCUCAGGAAGAGUGGAAAUCUAUUA